CCACUUACACCGGAAGCCUCUGACACGGAUAGGAAAGCAAAAAUUAGCCUACAAUAACUAAAUUUGAACAAGUUGCGGAUAAACUAUUUCAUCAGACAUAUUCCGGUACUUUAAUGGGAACCGUUUCAGAAAUUCGUCGUAAGGGUGCUCUGACAACUCGGAUGACCAAAUCCUUGCACUGUUCUUAGAAGGAUACGUUAUCCAGCCAAGAAAAUCUGAAUUAAACACCGUGUUUCUCCAGUGUGUUAAUGUAGAGAUACUUCCGAACCUGCAGAUGUCACGUUACUUUGAGAGACAAAAAGAAUUGAUUCUCUGAGCAAUACAAUGCUCAAAACAGUUUGUUACACAGAGCUGUUAUUGUGAAAAAGAAAGAUAAUACUGUCCCAUCUAUGAGAUAUAACAUUUCAAAUAACAAAUUUACAUCGCUUAAAUAAAUCGCUCAUUGUAGUGAAUAAUG